UACGGGAUGUAUGACUGCAUCACUUUUGGAAUUAGAAGGUGUGGGACUGACUCUUCUCACUCUCUGGUUUAACUUUUUUAGUGUAACAGUGAAACCUACUUUCAAAAAUUUUCCCAGUAAUUUGACUACGGAUUUCUUGUGAUUCUGUAUUUUUUCGCUAAAACGUGUCAAUACAACUACAUUUCUACACUUUAAUGCAUAUAUAUUGAAACAUUCAACACAACUUGAAAAUGGAUUUUAUCUUCGUUUCAAUACUUUGUCAAUACUUACUUAUCGAUGGGAUUUACGCAGUGUCCAACUAUGGAAAUCUCCAACCAUAUAUGCCCAAUGUGUGUGCGGAGCGGGAUGUGACGCUGGUUGCCCAAAGGCAGCCGUGUGUGCAGGCCUUCACACGCAUGGUCAAGGUCUGGAAGCAAGGCUGCCUAGGACAGAACUGGUGUAUGGGAUACGAGAGAAGGACUGCGUACUACACAGCAUAUAAACAAAUCUACAGACAAGACUACCAGACCGUGUAUAAGUGCUGUCCUGGAUGGGCUCAACUAAACGGAGAGGCUGGCUGCU